rnacentral:rRNA from 1 species
AGAUUGAACGCUGGCGGCAUGCCUUACACAUGCAAGUCGAACGGUAACAGGUCUUCGGAUGCUGACGAGUGGCGAACGGGUGAGUAAUACAUCGGAACGUGCCCGAGAGUGGGGGAUAACGGAGCGAAAGCUUUGCUAAUACCGCAUACGAUCUACGGAUGAAAGCAGGGGACCGCAAGGCCUUGCGCUCAUGGAGCGGCCGAUGGCAGAUUAGGUAGUUGGUGGGAUAAAAGCUUACCAAGCCGACGAUCUGUAGCUGGUCUGAGGAGGACGACCAGCCACACGUGGACUGAGACGACCGGCCAGACCUCCGUACGGGAGCGAGCGAGGUAGGGUAAUUUGGAACAAGUGGGACGACGAACGCCGUAGACUACCGA